rnacentral:sRNA from 1 species
GCUUGUCAUCUGCUCUGACGAAUCCGACUAGUCUUUCGUUGAUGAUGUCUGUUUCUUCACCUGGUGUUGAAACAACUCAUGGAUUGGCUGGCUUUUGGUGGUUUGUUGGUAAAGUGGCAAGC